CCUUAUAUUUGGUAGGAUCGUUCCUUAUAGAACCUUAUAUAGAAUAUAUUGGACCCAUUUUAUUAUUUCCCCUUUAUGGUGACCAAUUUCAAUAUCAAUUUCAAUAUUUGUUGUAUUAACAAAUCAAAUAAAAGCUCUUUAUUUCUACAGGUAUACCUCGAUAUAACGUAACUAAUUUUUCACUCUUCAAAUCGUUGUAUCUCCAAAACCACUGGUCCUGCAAGAAAAAUGUGCUUCUUGCUUUUGUGAAGUGAUAUUUGAUCGUGCAAGUGGAAUACAUAAAAUGGAUUCAAAAUCUAGAGAAGAAUUAAGUAUGAAACUUGUUGACCCAAUUGAAAGUUUCAAAGGCGUACAGUUGCCUUCAAACGGUGAUGUGCUUGGUCGGAUGCGUUUUAUAAUGAAAAAUCAACACUUGAGUAUAAAACCAGCUGCUAAAACUGUAGUAACUGAACUUCAAAUUUUUUGGGAGAAAUAUAGAAUUCCUCUAAUGCAACACUACAAUGCUGUUGUUAAGCUCCUAAAAUUAUUUAACAAAAUGCGAGCAAUUAUCAAAAAAUCUUCUCACGCGGGAGAUAAACAGAAAGAGCAAGAGUCUAGUUUCAUUAAUAAUUUGGAUCGAUUGUUUGACAAUGCUCGAAGAAAUGCAUUAAAUUUGAUUAAAAACGAUAAGAAUAAACAGUUCCUUAUUCUGCAAAGGGAAGUUGGAAGGCCUGGAUCUGCCUUUGCGAGAGUUAUAAAAGGCAAAAUCGAAGAAGAACCAACAACGGAACCAGAGCCUUCCUUGGAAUCUCAAUCAUCUACCAGCGUUUUUACUAUUGAUGGAGGUGAUGAGAAACCCUCCACUAGUAGAGCGUUUUCCGAGCGAAGUAAAUCAAAAAUAAUGACUCCUAUACUAGCUGCCACCCUAGACCGCGUAUUGGACUAAGCGACCGAAAUGCAAUGUAUGUUAUUUCUGCGGUUUUAACAAGUGCUGGACUAAACUUAGACGAUUUUACCGUUAGCAGACAAACAAUCUAAAGGGCCCGUGCAGAAUAUCGCGAAGAGAAGGCUCAAAAUAUCCAAAGCAAUUUUGAUCUAAAUGGACCACAUGUUGUACAUUGGGAUGAAAAGCUGCUUCAAGAUCCCACAGGUACUGACAAAGUAGAAUGAUUGCCAGUUUUGGUAUCUUCUGGAGCAAAUGUUUAGCUGCUUGAAGUCCCAAAAUUGUCUUCUGGAACUGGUGAAAGACAGGCAAACGAAGUUUGCAAAUUGAUUAAUACAUGGGAACUAAGCGAUCGCAUCUGUGCAAUGGGAUUUGAUACAACAGCAGCAAAUACAGGAAUAAAAAAAAAAGGCGCUUGUACCCUAAUCGAGAAGCGGAUUGGCAGAGAUCUUUUUUGGUUGGCGUGUAGGCAUCAUAUUGCCGAAGUUUUGAUGACAGCAGCUUGGGAAAAACUAUUUCCUUCAAAAGGCCCUUCUUCAAGUAUUUUUAUUAAAUUUAAAUCGGCAUGGCCUACUAUGGAUCAAUCCUUUGAUGAAAAUAUGGUAGACGAUAACAUUAUUGAGGUCCUUGCUGAUGAAACACAACAUUUGAUUGAAUUUUUGAAAAACCAACUCAAUAUUCAACAGCAACGACAAGACUAUGCUAGCGAAACAUGGUGUGUAUCAGUGGAGAACACUCAACGGCUGCAGGUGUUCAUUAACAGAUGCCUGUGGUAUAUAAUUCGGGCAUGGUGGCCUCACAACUGGAUCUCAAACAACGAGCUCCAUCGUCGUUGUCACCAGAGGCCGAUAGCAACUGAAAUUCGGGAUCGGAAGUGGGGCUGGGUCGGCCACACUCUACGUAGGGGCGGAAACGAAAUCUGUAAGCAAGCAUUAGACUGGAACCCAGCGGGACAUCGCAGCAGAGGCAGACCCAGAGGCUCAUGGCGGCGAAGCCUCAAUAAAGAAAUAAAAGAAGUCGACCGAAAUCUAACCUGGCAACAGGUUAAAGCGAUAGCCGGGCAUCGCUCAGGAUGGAGAUCUUUCAAGUCGGCCCUUUGCACCACCGGAGGUGUACAGGAUCCAUAAGUAAGUAAGUAACGACAAGACUAUAAAGAGUUGCUAAAUUUAUCUUUAGCAUUUCUUGGUGUGGAAAGAAUUAAAUUUUCGCCACCAGGAGCACAUAGCAAUGCCAGAUGGAUGGCGAAAGCAAUAUAUUGUCUUGAAAUAUGGCUGUUUAGAGGCCAAUUUGACAUGACCGAUGAUGAAAGGCGAAAAAUUCCAGUAAUGUGUGCUUUUAUUUUACGAGUUUACAUUUGGUCUUGGUUUAAAGCUCCUUUACCCUCAUCAGCAGCACGAAAUGAUCCAAACCUGGCAAAAAAAUUGAUAACUUUACGAGAUGCUUUCCCUGAUCAAUCAAGAAAUGUGUAUAUGGCUGCGGCUUCAAGAUUUGCAAAUCAUCUAUGGUACUUGAGUGAAGAACUAGUCGCUCUUGCUUUUUUCGACCCAGAAAUAUCAACUGAUGAGAGAAAAGAAAUGGCACACAAUUUAAAAUCUUGUAAGGGUGAUGAAAUAAGAAAAAUAAAAUUGAAAGUAUCUACGAUCGAUAAGUUGACUUCUUGUACGCUUUCGGAUUUUGUUUCUCAAAAUACGAUGAAUUUUUUUGAAAUUUCUGGAAUUCUGUAAAUUUUUUCAAAGAAGAUCCUAGUAUAUGGGAUGAAUUGGAAGAAUUUGUUGAAAGUAGAAAUAAAAUUAAUUCAUUUUUGGUAGUGAAUGACUGUGCUGAAAGAGGAGUUAAACUAGUUCAAGAUUUUUGUGGAAAACUGACAAAAAAUGAAGAACAGCUUCAAUAUCUUCUCAAAGUUGUUCAACAGCAUAGGCAAAAUUUUCCAGGUUGCACUCGCUCUGUUAUAAAGG